UACGUAGGGUGCGAGCGUUAAUCGGAAUUACUGGGCGUAAAGCGUGCGCAGGCGGUUUUGUAAGCCAGAUGUGAAAUCCCCGGGCUUAACCUGGGAAUGGCAUUUGGGACUGCAAGGCUUGAGUUUGGCAGAGGAGACUGGAAUUCCUGGUGUAGCAGUGAAAUGCGUAGAAUAUCAGGAGGAAUACCGAUGGCGAAGGCAGGUCUCUGGGCUAGAACUGACGCUCAUGCACGAAAGGCGUGGGGA
rnacentral:rRNA from 1 species